GACCUGUCUCUACAGCACUGACCUCUGACCUGUAGCUUCACUUGUUUCUUCAUCAAAAUGUGUCCGUCCCUGCUGACGGUGCAGGUGUAGGUGUCUGUUUCUGUGGGGUGUUUCAGGGUCAGACUGAGGUCUCCAGUUUUCAGCAGGUCUUUCUUCAUCUCUGUUCGGUCUCUGUAAACCUGGUCCUGUUCUUCAGGUCGGUCAGAGCCGUUCUCAUACACAUGGACCUUCCUGUUGUCUCUGUCCCUCCACUCCACUCUGAUGUUUCCAUCCAGGUGAACUGUGGUUUUGAAGGGCAGCUGGACAGACUCCACCCCUGAAUCCACAUCC